ensembl:rRNA 5S_rRNA 5S ribosomal RNA
AUCCAUGGCCAUACUGGACUGAAUGCACUCAAAGUCAUGUGAGAUCAGAAGAUAAACUGUCCUGGGCCUGGCUAGUACUUGGAUGCAAGACCACCUGGGAAUUUCAAGUGCUGUAUGCA